rnacentral:rRNA from 1 species
GGUUAAGUUAAUAAGGGCGCACGGUGGAUGCCUUGGCACUAGAAGGCGAUGAAGGACGUGACUAACUACGAAAUUCUGCGGGGAGCUGUAAGUAAGCAUUGAUCCGCAGGUGUCCGAAUGGGGGAACCCAGUAGCUAAUGGCUACUACUGUUUGUGUGAAUACAUAGCACUUACAGGGCAAGACGUUGUGAACUGAAACAUCUAAGUAGCAACAGGAAGAGAAAGCAAACGCGAUUUCCUUAGUAGCGGCGAGCGAAACGGAAGAAGGGCAAACCAAGAGACUUGUCUCUUGGGGUUGUAGGACUGCGCAGUGGACUUAUAUUUUAUAGACGAAUUACCUGGGAAGGUAAGCUAAAGAGAGUAAUAGCCUCGUAGUUGAAAUAGAAUAUAUACCUAGCAGUAUCCUGAGUACGGCGAGACACGAGAAAUCUCGUCGGAAUCUGGGAGGACCAUCUCCCAACCCUAAAUACUCUCUAGUGACCGAUAGUGAACAAGUACCGUGAGGGAAAGGUGAAAAGAACCCCGGGAGGGGAGUGAAAUAGCACCUGAAACCGUGUGCCUACAACAAGUUCGAGCCCGUUAAUGGGUGAGAGCGUGCCUUUUGUAGAAUGAACCGGCGAGUUAAGUUAUGAUGCGAGGUUAAGAUGAAGAGUCGGAGCCGUAGCGAAAGCGAGUCUUAAUAGGGCGCCAUAGUAUCAUGAUUUAGACCCGAAACCAUGUGACCUAUCCAUGAGCAGGGUGAAGGUGCGGUAAGACGCACUGGAGGCCCGAACCAGGACACGUUGAAAAGUGUUUGGAUGACUUGUGGAUAGCGGAGAAAUUCCAAACGAACUUGGAGAUAGCUGGUUCUCUCCGAAAUAGCUUUAGGGCUAGCGUCCAACUUGAAUGUAAUGGAGGUAGAGCACUGUUUGGGUGAGGGGUCCAUCCCGGAUUACCAAUCUCAGAUAAACUCCGAAUGCCAUUUACAUGCGUUGGGCAGUCAGACUGUGAGUGCUAAGAUCCAUAGUCGAAAGGGAAACAGCCCAGACCAUCAGCUAAGGUCCCAAAAUAUAUGUUAAGUGGAAAAGGAUGUGGGAUUGCACAGACAACUAGGAUGUUAGCUCAGAAGCAGCUAUCAUUUAAAGAGUGCGUAAUAGCUCACUAGUCGAGUGAUCCUGCGCCGAAAAUGUACCGGGGCUAAAACAUAUUACCGAAGCUAUGGAAUUAAAUUUAUUUAAUUGGUAGGAGAGCGUUCUUAUCAGCGAUGAAGGUAUACCGUGAGGAGUGCUGGAGCGAUAAGAAGUGAGAAUGCCGGUAUGAGUAGCGCAAGACAGGUGAGAAUCCUGUCCACCGUAAGACUAAGGUUUCCAGGGGAAGGCUCGUCCGCCCUGGGUUAGUCGGGACCUAAGGAGAGGCCGAAUGGCGUAUCCGAUGGACAACAGGUUGAUAUUCCUGUACUAGGUUAUAUAGUGAUUGGAGGGACGCAGUAGGCUAAGGUAAGCCAGUUAAUGGAUUCUGGUCUAAGCAGUGAGGUUUGGUAUGAGUCAAAUGCUUGUACCUCUAAGAUUGAGCUGUGAUGGGGAAGCACUUUCGAGUGCGAAGUACCUGAUGUCACACUGCCAAGAAAAUCUUCUAGCGUUUAAUUAUAACCUACCCGUACCGCAAACCGACACAGGUAGUCGAGGCGAGUAGCCUCAGGUGAGCGAGAGAACUCUCGUUAAGGAACUCGGCAAAAUGACCCCGUAACUUCGGGAGAAGGGGUGCUCUACAUUUGUAGAGCCGCAGUGAAUAGGCCCAAGCGACUGUUUAUCAAAAACACAGCUCUCUGCUAAAUCGUAAGAUGAUGUAUAGGGGGUGACGCCUGCCCGGUGCUGGAAGGUUAAGAGGAGUGCUUAGCGUAAGCGAAGGUAUGAAUUGAAGCCCCAGUAAACGGCGGCCGUAACUAUAACGGUCCUAAGGUAGCGAAAUUCCUUGUCGGGUAAGUUCCGACCCGCACGAAAGGCGUAACGAUUUGGGCACUGUCUCAACGAGAGACUCGGUGAAAUUUUAGUACCUGUGAAGAUGCAGGUUACCCGCGACAGGACGGAAAGACCCCAUGGAGCUUUACUGCAAGUUGAUAUUGAGUAUCUGUUGCACAUGUACAGGAUAGGUAGGAGCC